rnacentral:rRNA from 1 species
UGUAUAAUGGGUCAGCGACUUAUAUUCUGUAGCAAGGUUAACCGUAUAGGGGAGCCGAAGGGAAACCGAGUCUUAACUGGGCGUUAAGUUGCAGGGUAUAGACCCGAAACCCGGUGAUCUAGCCAUGGGCAGGUUGAAGGUUGGGUAACACUAACUGGAGGACCGAACCGACUAAUGUUGAAAAAUUAGCGGAUGACUUGUGGCUGGGGGUGAAAGGCCAAUCAAACCGGGAGAUAGCUGGUUCUCCCCGAAAGCUAUUUAGGUAGCGCCUCGUGAACUCAUCUUCGGGGGUAGAGCACUGUUUCGGCUAGGGGGUCAUCCCGACUUACCAACCCGAUGCAAACUACGAAUACCGAAGAAUGUUAUCACGGGAGACACACGGCGGGUGCUAACGUCCGUCGUGAAGAGGGAAACAACCCAGACCGCCAGCUAAGGUCCCAAAGUCAUGGUUAAGUGGGAAACGAUGUGGGAAGGCACAGACAGCCAGGAUGUUGGCUUAGAAGCAGCCAUCAUUUAAAGAAAGCGUAAUAGCUCACUGGUCGAGUCGGCCUGCGCGGAAGAUGUAACGGGGCUAAACCAUGCACCGAAGCUGCGGCAGCGACACUAUGUGUUGUUGGGUAGGGGAGCG